rnacentral:lncRNA from 1 species
UAUCAUUAACCCCCUCUAUAAGAACCUAACCUACAACAUUUGCCUGCAACUCACAAUUUUGUGAGCAAUAUUGGAUACAUAUAUUCAUUUAAGUAAGGACUACUUUGUUGUCCAAAAAUAUCAUUAUCCCAAUAGGUAGAAUUGAUAAAACUUUCUUACCUACUCCACCCAAGUGAGACACCUUUUCAAACCAAAACACCAACAGAAAAAGACCUACUGGGAUUUUACUAGUCAUGUGGCAUCCUAAAAGUGACAUUUUGCUAUCCGUUUGCCCUGGUCACCAUGAAUGUUCAAUAGUAAAUAUAUCCUUCAAGGAUAAAUUUUGCUUCAAAGUCCAGGAAAAAUCUAGAACAUGCUUCUGGUCAUAUGAGAACACAUGAUAAUAAUUCGCUGCCAAUAAUAUAAUUAUCUUUUAAGAUAGUUAUAAGCUACAAAAGCUCUAACAGGGUAGAAAAUGAAUGUUAACCUUCUGAGUGAUCCAUUAAGAUCACUUAUUAGCUGUUUGUCACUCCCACAUGGGAAGAAACCAAAUGUUCUUUCAAUUUCCAACUCAACCUACUUCUUAAGAGGUCCAAUUUAGUUUUCAUGGAUGUAGUGUUGUUGAUAGAAUUUCCUCCCUCUUCUCAAGUUGAUGCCAAGAUAAACUUCCAUUCCAAAUUACGAUAACUCCAAAUUGUUAACUGCAACUGCACUAUUUAGCCUUCAAAGAAACUGACUAGAAGGAGCUAGACCAAGCUGGUAAAAAGAAUAGCAAAACUUCUGGAAACCCUCAGUAAUUGGUCCAUAAAGAUUACAUCAUUAGAUACCCAAGGGUAAUGAAGCCAUUACCAAAUACAGAAGAGUGUUCUAACCAUCUAACUUUCCGAUAAAACAAAAGCAAUCUGAGACAGCCCUCCCCUUGAAGUAUUCCUGAAGUGCUCCUCCAACACAGGGUAGAAGACAGGUUUAUUCCUUGAAGUAAACUCCUAUUCUUCCUCCACUUCAGCCGCAGUCAAAGAAACAAGAGCUGGCAUGCAUUUAGUCUUAAAAAAUAAACAAAAACCAAGAACCUAAUUUUCCCAAAUUAACCUCCUAUAACAAGCCCAAUCGUUUACUUUCAAACAAAACAAAAUUUAGGAAAAUCACCACACACCCACCACUAAUAGCCUUCUAAAUUCGCAGACAAAACCAACCAGCCAAAACCACAGCUAUUCAGCAAAUUAAACAUCAAAGAAUCCCCCCCCCCCCCCCCAAAAAAAAAAAAGAGGGAACAAAAUAACCAUUGAAGCCAAGUCAAAAGAGAGUAAAACACAGGAGACUUACCCACACCGAUCACAGAGCUCCGCACGCUCUCCGCUGCGUAGUUGCCAGCCUUUCUUUGGCCGCUCCGAUUUGAACUCCGCACACUCCGAAUUGAAGCAUAUCUUUGACGACGAAGACGAAGACGACAUCGAGAUAAGAGUAAGAAACAAAAACCAAAAACCCAACGCCAAAGAUAACCCUCACAUAAACCCUAGAACCUCCUCUCACUAAGAAACAAGCUGCUAAGAGAAAAACUAGAAGGAAGACGUAGAAAGCUCGAAACCGUUGGUUAUUGCCUGAUCUACAAUCAGGAAGAGACUGAGGUUAGAGAGAGACCGGAGCAGUUUUUUGAAGUGAGAGAAAGUAGAAUGUGUUGUAUAUGUGUAACAUUAAUAUAUAUAUAUAUAUGCAUACCCAUACACG